rnacentral:lncRNA from 1 species
UGUGCCAAAAAGUUGCCAUGACCGUCAUUAAACCUGUUUAACACCAAAUAAUCAGUAAAAUAAAAUAAAAAAUUCGGGCUUGGUGCAGAAACUCACCCCAAAUAAAUCACCUACCAAAAUAUUUACAUAAUGGUGGAAAUAUUCCAAAAUUCAAUAUUUUGGGAUUUAUACACAAAAGAUAAACAAAUUAGAGGCCAAGAGGCUGCCGGAAGGGAAAAACGGGGCCUGGGAAGGCCGUUGUGAGGAAUGAGCUGGGCCUAAAGAGGCCGCUGGCAGGCGGGAGCUGGGCCUGCCGAAGCGGCCGAGAGGCAGGAGCUUUGGACUCGGGAGGCCGCAAUGAGGCAAGGGCUAGCUGGGCAUGGAGAGUCCGCUGUGAGUCCGCUGUGAGUCCAGGCCCAUGCAGGCCUUCGAGAGGCAGGAGGCCGGGCCUGCAAAGGCCCACUGGAGGUCAAGUUCUGGGCCUGAAGAGGCCACCAAAAGUCAAAAGCGGGGCCUGGGAAGGCCGCCAAGAGCCAUGAGCUGGUCUGGGCUGAAAGAGGCCACUGGGAGGCAGGAGGAGCUGGGCCUGGAGAGGCUGACUCGAGGAAGUUUUGCACCUGGAGAGGCCGCCGAGAGGACGGAGCUGGGCCCGGGAAGGCCGACUUGCUGCUCUUCCAGGCCCAAUUCCAGGCCGACUUGACGACGACUUGGGCCUGCAGAGCUGUUUCUCUUGGCUGCAUCUCCCACCUCCCAGGAAACAAGCUUUUUUGGCUCAGUUCCCACCUGCGUUUGUAGACACCGAAGUUUCGGCAACCAAGCUCUUCAGACCCACAUCCCGCCUCCCAGUACCUGAACAGUCCCAGCUCCGGCUGGAGAACAGAGUCUGUAGGCCCCGCUGUUGCCUCAGAGGGGUGUCUCCAGGCCCAGCUCUCGCCCCACCGCGACCUCCCAGGCCCAAGUCCCUGCC